rnacentral:misc_RNA from 1 species
AGACAGUUCAAUAAAACAUUAAACAUGUCGAGCAUUGCUUUUUCUUUGCUCUCUUUGAGUAUAGCCUAUGUGUUACAAACGAUAGACUACAUAGCUUUAGAAAUAACGGGAUUAUACUUACUGAAACCUUUUGUCUUAGGAAUAGUGACCGUGGUAUUAGCUGUUCUUUCAGCUAUAAGUGGCCUCUAAAAGAAAUCAAUAAGAUCCAAAAGGACAAGGACCAGAUGUUAUGGGCACCUGCAAGGAGGGCAAGUGGUGUAAGGAAAAUAGCUGAGAAACUUAAAACUGGUGGCAUAUGUGGAAUUCCAUCCGACACCGUUUAUAUUCUAGUAGCGUGUUGUAACCAACCAGAAGCUGUAAAGGUAGGGGUGUCAUAUAGGUUGUUGUAAGAACUAAUGUAAUUUUGUCUGCAUUAAAGUAGUUCACUACACCUUGAAAUAGUUUCUUACAUCCACAAAAAAUUACUAUAUUAUAAAGCAUAAGCAUGAUAUACAAGACCUGAAUAGAUCGGGUACUCCAAUCAGAUUCGAAUUCGUGAUCUGCAGUUAACAACUUUGUUACUAAAAUCAUUGAGAUAUGAUGCUAUUCAACCAAAAGGAUUGACACAAACAACUUAACAAUAACAGUAUCCUCAUCUUGUGACGUAAUGUCAUAAAAAGUAUAAAUCUUGAUGUAGUGAGAUACUGAAAAAUAUACGGCGUAUAAAAUACACAUGAAAUUAUUGUUUUUUGGUAUUAAUCAACAAGAAUGAGAUAUGACUUAAUAAAUAUAAAACAUAUAACAUUACUAUUUAAGCGAGCCUACAAGUCUAAAAAACAGGCAGAAGAUCGUCCUAUGUCCCUAUGGAUAUCGAACUUUCGACAAAUAGAAGCUGCAAAAAACGAGUUUAGUUCUCUUCUCUGGGACUUUCUCCAUGAAAUAUGGCCGUCCAAUGUAUCAGCUGUUUUAAAAAGAGGUACUUCGAAAUACUAACAUGCUAGCCGCUUACCCCUUGGAAAAAAGGCUUGUACAUAAUGUUCACUUGUUAAUAAACAGGUGACUGGGUGAAAUCUCUUGGAUUGGGCGAAUCUGAAAAGUACUUGGGUCGUCCAGAUAGCAUUGCGAUGCGAAUCCCAGACAGUACUAUAACAUGCCAUUUAAUAGAUCAAUGUGGUCCUGUAGCUGUGACUUCAGCAAAUCCCACUGGAGAGGGAGACACCACCCACCACGCCCAAGUCUUGGCAAAACUUGGGUUGCAAAAUUGUGAUGGCAUCUUAUGUGAUGGACCAUCAAGAGAGAAUGCCAUAUCCACCGUCGUAGACUGCCGUGAUAUCGACAAUGGAAACCUUGCAUUCUUUAGAAUCGGACUGACUCCUAAAUCUACAAUAUUAAACAUUUUUGAGACACUGUUGAAGAGACAUGGGAAAAUGCCGAAAAGUAAUACAAAUGGCAUCACCCCGGUUAAUGGUGUUUUCGAAGAAGAAAUUAAUGAAUAAAAACUUAAACACUUAAAUUCAUGAAAAGAUAUUGAAAUAAAGGAUUUUGUUGUU